AAGUUCUGGGGUACAUGUGCAGAACAUGCAGGUUUGUUACAUAGAUAUACAUGCACCAUGGUGGAUUGCUGAACCUAUCAACCUAUCAACUAGGUGUUAAG